rnacentral:piRNA from 1 species
UCCCAGAGUGGUUUGGCUUCUUGGAGCCCUU